rnacentral:lncRNA from 1 species
CUUAGCAACCCAUACAUCUAAAAAAAAAAAAAAAGAAAAAGAAAAACCUUUGAUGCAGUUUCUUUCCAUGUUCUUAUAGGGAGUUAGAAUGGAGGAGCUUUCUAUUGAUGACAUGUAAGUGUGAAAUAUAAAUAGACCUGCACUCCUACUAUGUAUAUUAGACCCCUCUUAUACCCCACCUCACAAUCUCUUUUCCCAUUUCUUACUUUAGUGUUACUGUGGCAACAAACCCCAGGCAAAUAUGACCUGGCAGCACCUUACCACCACCAGACUGAGUAUUUCUUGCAUUCCAUUAGGACAUUACUGCUGCUGUGAGUGAUGCCUGCAAGAAGCCACACAACCAUUCAAGCACAUUGGCAAACCUGCAUGAGUGAGCAAGUUACUCCGUGGAAUCACCCUUGAGCAAUGAGGGACAGGCACAGCUGAUUUCUCCUGAGCAACAAUGGAAUUCAGAAGACAAUGGAAUACUAUCUUUAAUGAGAUGAAGGAAAAACAUCCAGACCAAGAAGUUUAUACUUGGCAAAACUUAUUUUUAAGAACAAUCUCAAAAUAAAGAUAUAUCUAAGAAAGAUAGAAAUAUCAAAAUUAUGUGCAUAAAAUAAUAACAGUGAUUAUUUUGG